UGUAAGCGUAUACCAAAGUUGUUGCAGUUAAAACGCUCGUAGUCGGAAUUUGGCAGUUCCGGAUGUGUGCACGUCGUGUGCGCACUUCGCGGGGAUUGCUUUUGUGGUCUUGCGUAGGAUGAGGCACUUUUAUUAGUGAACGUCCUCACGCAACCACUUUUUACUGUGAGAAAAUCAGAGUGCUCAAAGCAGGCAUUUGCCGUGAAUGUAUUAGCAUGGAAUAAUAGAAUAGGACUUGGUUCUAUUUUGUUGGUUUGUUGGGACUGGGUAAUGAUUAAGAGGGACAGUUGGGGGCAUUUGUAUUUCGGUGCUAGAGGUGAAAUUCUUAGAUUACCGAAAGACAAACUGCAGCGAAAGCGUCUGCCAAGGAUGUUUUCAUUGA
rnacentral:rRNA from 1 species